rnacentral:rRNA from 1 species
GUGAGGAAUAUUGGUCAAUGGACGCAAGUCUGAACCAGCCAUGCCGCGUGCAGGAAGACGGCUCUAUGAGUUGUAAACUGCUUUUGUACGAGGGUAAAUGCAGGUACGUGUAUCUGUUUGAAAGUAUCGUACGAAUAAGGAUCGGCUAACUCCGUGCCAGCAGCCGCGGUAAUACGGAGGAUCCAAGCGUUAUCCGGAUUUAUUGGGUUUAAAGGGUGCGUAGGCGGUUUUAUAAGUUAGAGGUGAAAUCUCGGGGCUCAACUCCGAAAUUGCCUCUAAUACUGUAGGACUAGAGAGUAGUUGCGGUAGGCGGAAUGUAUGGUGUAGCGGUGAAAUGCUUAGAGAUCAUACAGAACACCGAUUGCGAAGGCAGCUUACCAAACUAUAUCUGACGUUGAGGCACGAAAGCGUGGGGAGCAAACAGG